rnacentral:rRNA from 1 species
UGAGCAACCUGCCCUUCACUUUGAGAUAACCCUCGGAAACGGGGGCUAAUACCGGAUAGGACUGCUGGCCGCAUAGUUGGUGGUGGAAAGAUUUAUCGGCUGGGGAUGGGCCCGCGGCCUAUCAGCUUGUUGGUGGGGUAGUGGCCUACCAAGGCGACGACGGGUAGCCGGCCUGAGAGGGUGACCGGCCACACUGGGACUGAGACACGGCCCAGACUCCUACGGGAGGCA